GAGAGUAUAGCUCAGUGGUAGAGUGUAUGCUUAGCAUACACUCGAGGUCCUGGGUUCAAGCCCCAGGACUUCUU
rnacentral:tRNA from 1 species